rnacentral:rRNA from 1 species
UACCAGCACCCCGAGUGGUCGGGACGUUUAUUGGGCCUAAAGCAUCCGUAGCCGGUUCUACAAGUCUUCCGUUAAAUCCAGCUGCUUAACAGAUGGGCUGCGGAAGAUACUAUGGAGCUAGGAGGCGGGAGAGGCAAGCGGUACUCGAUGGGUAGGGGUAAAAUCCGUUGAUCCAUUGAAGACCACCAGUGGCGAAGGCGGCUUUCUGGUCUGUAACUGACGCUGAAGCGCGAAAGCGUGGGGAGCAAACAGG